UCGCCCAUUAAAGUGGUACGCGAGCUGGGUUCAGAACGUCGUGAGACAGUUCGGUCCCUAUCCGUCGCAGGCGUAGGAAAUUUGAGAAGACCUGUCCUUAGUACGAGAGGACCGGGAUGGACGUACCUCUGGUGUACCAGUUGUUCUGCCAAGGGCAUGGCUGGGUAGCUAUGUACGGAAUGGAUAAGCGCUGAAAGCAUCUAAGCGCGAAGCCAACUUCAAGAUAAGAUUUCCCACCGCAAGGGUAAGACCCCAGAAAGACUAUCUGGUUGAUAGGUCGAAGGUGUAAGUGCAGCAAUGUAUUUAGCUUAUCGAUACUAAUAGGUCGAGGACUUGACCAAU
rnacentral:rRNA from 1 species